AUGUGAAUACUUUGGUCUCCAGCAAUUACUGUCAGGAGAUUUUAUGUUAUGUUAAUAAUACAAAAGAACAAGUAGAGCCAGCCAAUUUUCAGAACUAUUCAUUCAUCAGUAACUCUGCUAGAUGCUAAGGAUACAAUGGUGAUAUAGUUGUUUAUCUCUUGUCCCUCAGCCUGCCUCAUACCAGCCAUUCCCCAUCCUGAUCUGUAAGCGGAGUAGGGAGGCUACAAACAUCAUUUCCCAGGCUCCUACUGCCAUUUGGAAGAACUUACAAAAGGAGGCAGCACAGGUUAAAGGUUUUAAUGCUUUACUGAAAUUGUAAUACUCUACUGUAGUUUUAAUGUUGAAACUAUAGUAUUGUGAUGGCCAAUUUUAUGUGUCAACUUGACUGGGCCACAGGGUCCCCAGAUACUUGGUCAAACAUUAUUCUGAGUGUUUGAUUUUAGAUGUGAUCAAUCAUUACCUCAGUAGACCAGGUGAAGCAGAUUCCCUUCCCUAAUGAGGGUGGCCCUCAUCUGAUUAGUUGAAGGAAGGAAGAAAACAAAAAAGAUGAUGCUACCUCAAGGGGUACGCCUCUUGACCAUCUUGAGCUGGGUCAUCAGUCUUUUCUGGCCUUCAGACUCAAACUAGAACACUGACUCUUCUGGGUCUUGAAUCUGCUGGCCUUUUGACUGCUCACUCCGUUGGCUCUCCUACGUCUCUAGUUUGCAGAUCGGAGAACCUGGGACUUCUCAGCCUCGAUAAUCAUAUGAACCAAUUCCUUCCAAUAAAUAAAAAUAUAUACACAAACAUAUAUAUUAUGUAUAAUAUACAUAAAUCGGUAUUAUAACUACAAAUAUAUAUGUAUACACAUACAUACAUAUAUAGACACAAACCCUAUUGGUUCUGUUUCUCUGGAGAAUCCUAAUAUAUAUUCAGAAAGUUUAGAAAUCAUGCAAUGCAUUUUUCUCAAUUUAAGAAUCCACCCAAACAAAGUAACCAUAUGGUUUACUACUAUAAUACAAAUAAUUUACAUUAGGAUUUGUUAGAUUUGUGUCCCCUAGACCCCUGAAAACCUUGAAGGAUCAAGCCUUGGAAACUGGCAUAAAAACAGGGACUUGGGUAGUUCUAUAAAGGAUUUUGGAUGACGACUCAAUUUCUACUAAACAAAAUACAUAGAGCAGGAGAUAAUAUAUCACAAUGCCCAAAUCAUUAACUAUAAAAGGUGACCAGAAAAAUCUCUGAAUUCCAGAGUCUUUAAUUGAUAUUAUAAAUAUGGAAGAGAUUGCUGGUACCAGACACCAAGUGAGAAAUGUGAGUAAAUGCAAUAAUGAAAGCAUAUUUCUACAAUAAGGAGAAGUUAUGCUAACAAAAAAGGAACUGUCUUCCCACAAUUGUCACACACAUAAGGCUUUUCUCCCCAGUGUGGGUUCUCCGGUGUUUGAUAAGUCCUGAGCAGUGACUGAAGGCCUUGCUGCAUUGUUCAUUUUGCUAGUGUGCUUCUCCUCAUUGUAAGAAUAAGGUGAAGCGCUAACAUAACAGUUUGCAGCAAAACGGUCAUUCCGAAAUACUCUUGUAGAAACAAUGCCACUGAAUGUAUACGUAAUAAAUACUAAUUGUAUAAUGCUGACUAAAAGUUUUCUCACUUCAAUUCACAAGACUAAAAUUUUGACUAUCAUCCUGGGAAAAAAAGAUGGUCUACAGUGUGUUUAACAAAAAGUAGAUAGCCUGAGGAGUUAAAUUAAUGGUUAAAAUAGUCAUCAUGAAAAACUAAGAUGGUAUUACCACAGAGGUGAUUUAGGAAUCAAUGUAUAAGAAGACCAAGAUAGUCAGACAUUAAUAAAGGGGUUCUGAAACUGUAAGUGAUACUUGUUUUAAAUAUUUGGUGUGAAUCCACUGACCUGAGAAAGUAUUAACUUAGCAGGAAUAAGUUUUACACAGUUUACAGUGUGUGUUGGGUGGUAGGCAGGAUAGUGUCUAUUGUUUUAGGAGACAUUGGUUAGGCCCAGAGAACUAAGGGAACUAAGAUACUGUGCAUUAGAAUAUUUAUCAUUUUAUUCUGACUUGAUGAUUGAUUUUCAUACUGACUGAAUAGGAAAGUGUUUUCCUUAAACAGUAGCAACAGGGAAACAUUAAAGAAUGAAAUUUGCUGGGCCUGCUCUGGCUGCUCAGCUGACCUCUCCAUUUACCUUCUGAUACCUGGACAUCCCUGCCCUGUUCAGCCCCAUAGCUCCCAACUGUUUGGUUUCUGCUCCAUGGUUAGGGCUCUGACAGCUCCUUUGAAUAAACCAGACACCC